rnacentral:rRNA from 1 species
GCGAACGCUGGCGGCAGGCUUAACACCUGCAAGUCGAGCGCCCCGCAAGGGGAGCGGCAGACGGGAGAGUAACACGUGGGAACAUACCUUUUGGUUCGGAACAACUGAGGGAAACUUCAGCUAAUACCGGAUAAGCCCUUACGGGGAAAGAUUUAUCGCCGAAAGAUUGGCCCGCGUCUGAUUAGCUAGUUGGUGAGGUAACGGCUCACCAAGGCGACGAUCAGUAGCUGGUCUGAGAGGAUGAUCAGCCUCACUGGGACUGAGACACGGCCCAGACUCCUACGGGAGGCAGCAGUGGGGAAUAUUGGACAAUGGGGGCAACCCUGAUCCAGCCAUGCCGCGUGAGUGAUGAAGGCCUUAGGGUUGUAAAGCUCUUUUGCCCGGGAAGAUAAUGACGGUACCGGGAGAAUAAGCCCCGGCUAACUUCGUG